rnacentral:lncRNA from 1 species
UUUGCCACCGCCAGCCUCGGCACCCGCGACUUACAGGCCGUGUCCACCGCUGUUGGCCGUGAGGGUACGACACUGUAAAAUAACCGUUUUUCUCUGAAACCUAAAAAAAAAAAUCUCCUGUAAAAAUAGAAAACAAGAAAAUUUUACGUACUAGAGAGCGUCCCAACAGAAAGACAGUCUGAUCAAUCUCAGCCGGCAAAACUUGAGAGAUAUUUUUUAAUAUUUUAUAUUUGACAGGCACGCCGAAGCAGGCAUAUACGGUCGAGAGCGUAAAGAAGAUGUCCGCCCCAGGAUCCGAGCUGGUGGCGUGCCACGGCAUGAAGUACGCGUACGCGGUGUUCCACUGCCACACGACGACCGCGGCCGCCUACACCGUAUCGAUGGCGGGCGCCGACGGGACGAGGGUGAAGGCGCUCGCAGCGUGCCACACCGACGCGGCGGCCGGGGUCGAGGAGGCGUUCAAGAAGCUCAACGUCAAGCCCGGGAGCGUGCCGGUGUGCCACUUCCUUCCCCAGGAUGAUCUCCUGUGGAGCCGCAAUUAACAUGGCUGAUCAGGACAUGCGAAUUAUAACGUGUAAUGGACGGCUAUAGAUUAUAAUCCGGUCUGUGAUCCACGGUUUAUUGGGCCAGCUUAUUGGUGUACUAGCGUGUACGUGUGUUGUACUAUGUUUUCUGUGUCCAUGCAGACAUGGUUUGUCCUCGUCCAUAUCUAAACUGUAUCCAUGUUUCCUCUAUGUUAUAUAAAUAAGAAAACUUAUUUUAAAAUGUUGGUUUCCUGUAGAAACGAAUGCGUGCAACUAAUUGAGAUCUCACUUGAAAAUGCCUUGGGCAAAUGCACUCAUGUCUAUGUGAUAGUGAAUUCCUGCCAUCAUUUUAUAAUAUUUUUUUUAAAAAAAGAACUCAAAGAUAUUUAAAUUAUUUUUCAAAAAGAAUCUAUAUUGUCAAAAUUAGUUUUGAUAUUACCAGAAAAGGCUAGGCAAUAGCAGAAACUUCUGUGGCAAGUGGCAACAUCAGUUUCCAAUUUCAGAUAUCUUUUGAACUAUCAAAUCCAGGAGAAGAUAAUGUGUUUCCCAACUGGGCCUUAGCAAGUUAACGGGUUUGUUCGGCAGUGCUAAGUGGGCCCGAACGAUGAUGGGCCUCAUAGACCCUAUGGGUUGUGUACUGUAAUCGGAGCCGGAUCUUGAUGCGCUCGAUUCUGCUCCGCAUCAGGUUUAGUUUGGUCCUAAUUUGACUAGGGGUCAAACGCGAGUGGUGCGCUUGGGUGCGAGAUCCUCGGGCACAGACGACUCAGGGCGCCGUGCGGUGGAAUUGUAUCCCGUGCACGGCCCACGUGCCGCAAAUGGGCCGGAGGCUAGCCCGCCCGGCCACCCAAAAUCGGCCGUGCUUGUGGCCGGGGCCAAAAUUCUUGGAACCCGGCGCCAGCACGGCCGCUUUGGCACCGCACUGUUGCACCGGCCGUGCGGGCCGGCCGGGCAGUUCGGGCAGCCCUUUUUUUAUUUUAUCAAUUUUAUUUUAAAAAUUUUAAUAUUUUAAAAAUUAAAAAUAAAAAAUAUUUUUUAAAAAAAAUAUAUAUCAAUGAGCCUGGAAGAGGCCCAAAGCCCAAACUCCCAUGCAUUGGGAGUUGGACCAUUGGGAGUUGGAUUGUGUGUUGGAUUGUAAGCCACUCCCAUCAUUGGGAUGUUGGGGUUUGUAACAAGGCCUUGGGAGUUGGUUCCCAACUCGGGUUAGCCAACUCCUACGCCUAUAGCCCAAUCCAUGCCUGGCCGCGGCUCAAAGACGGCCUGCCACAUCGGCCGGCCGUGCUGUGCCGUGGGCCGGGCCCGGGCCAAGGUAAUUCUCAGGCCGCACGGCAAAGCCGCCGGGUCGUGCGGGGCCGUCCGGCCAGCGGCCACAGUAAGCUAAGGCCCCAGCACACUAGGUUGAUGCCGGCCGGGCUGGCAACGGCCCGCUACACGUACUGCGUGGCCGUGCCUGGCCCAGCCGACUCUCGUGCCGGGCCAGGCGGGCCGCGGGCCGCCCGGCCCGUUUGACACCCCUACAGACGACUCAGGGCGCCGUGUGGUGGAAUUGUAUCCCGUGCUCUCUCUCUCUCUCUCUCUCUCUCUCUCUCUCUCUGUUUCUCCCACGUUACGAUCCAUUUCCCCAACUCGAUCGCCCCCGACGAAACCCUCGUCGUCGUCAACCUCCUCCCCCCUCUCCGCCGCGCCAUGAAACCCUCGCAGAAUAAGAAGAAGAGCAGGAAGAAGAAGCCGAAGCCCUCUUCUCCCCUUCCGCCGCCCUCCCAAAGAUCCGACGCUGAAUCGAAGGGGGACGAAGGCGAGGAGAGGAAGGACCUGGAUUGGUUGAUCGACGAUACUAACCAAUCCAUUGAUUGUUAGCUAAAAAAAGAUUAUUUUAUAUAUUUUUUCUCAACUUUGAAAAUGUUUUUUAAAUUUUCUCUCACUUGGAGUCUGAUGAGAUUUUAAGCUCAAAGAUUUAAGUAUCCUAGUACGGAAUCAUGUCAAAAUUUCAUGCGUGUCGAAUAGUAUCGAUACGUGUAUACUGGUCAUAAAAAAUAUAUUUGUGCCGACACAUAAUGUCAUGAAAUAUUUAUUUUUUUUAGCAAUAUAAUAUUACAACCGUUAAUUAUAUAUCUUUAUCAAAUAUUUUAAAUUUUAUUGAAAAAAAUUAUUUACUAAUUUAAAAAAUAUAGAGUUUUGAGCUGUGCAAUCAGUACGAGGGCAGUAUCGUGCCGAUAUCUUGUUGACAUGAUAUAGUACGAUGGAUACGGCCGGUAUUGAUGGAUAUACUUAAAUUCUUUCGUUUAAACUUGUUGGUAGCCAAAUUCCCUAAUCCCUGACCCGGUCAAAGAUACCCCUCAGGAAGCGCGUCGGGAUGCGAAACAGCUGCGAAUAGUGACCCUCGAAGUUUGCACCCUUCGACUGGAUCAAGCGAUUCGGCUAAUGAGGGAUCGGAUCAGCCGAGUUCAAAAAUCUCUACUUUUAAAUCUGUUCGGCUGGAUGAGCCGAAUGUAUGGACUGUGCAGGGAUCAAUGUCGGCAGAAGAGCCGAAUGGAAGAAGUAUACAGUAACUGGUCGGCUGAAAGAGCCGAAUACCUAUAUAUACAUAUUAAUAAAACAAAGUGUGCCUGAAGGGCAUACAGACUCUGCAAAUAUGUAGUUUACAACAGAGUGAUACCCGUGGGGCAGACAGACUUCAGAAUUCUAUUUAAAAGCUACUCCUAUGAAAACAAUAAAUGCGAAAAAGAAAAUAUUACAUUUAGACUACUUCUAGAAAGCAAUAAAUGCAGAAAAUGAAAGAUAUGAAAAUGCGGCGGUCUUCUCGUUUACAGAAGAGAAAGACCGCUAUUGCAGGCUUUGAAAUUACUAUUUAUAGUAAUAUCAACUCACAUUAUUGGUUGGUUAAAAGUAGUGGGGGGAGUGGUUGUAACCAUGAUCGUGGAGGUUACGCCCACUCCUCAUAGAAGUUACGCCCUAUCGUAGAAGUUACGCCAACUUUUCAUGGAAGUUACGGCCCACUUCUCAACCGUUCUCGCCUAAACCUUCAGUCGCCUUAUUGCCUGCCGACUCCUGAUGUGCUACGCAGGGACGAAGCCAGAAUUCAAUCACAAGGGGGGCCAAAAUAUGUACAAAUAAAAAGUUUAGCAGAUAAAUAAAAUUUUAACUACUCAAAUUUUUAAUAAAAAAAUUUAGUGAUUAGAUAAUUAAUGUUAAAAAAUAUUAAAUUUAUUUUUUUAAUUUACACUUGCUUAACUUCUAAUUAUUUUAUUUGUAUUAUUUCAUUCAAAUAAUUUAAGAAUUUUACUAAAUCUAAUAAAAAUUUAGUUAGAAUUUAAUUUUUUUUAAAUUUUUGUUAAUAAAAUAAUAACAACCAAUGACUAAUAUCUAACAGAGCUAUUAAAUUUAGCAUACUAUUUUAUUUAGUUAAAUAAAUUAGCUCAUCAAAAUAAUUGGAAAGUUAAGAAUGUAUAAAUAAAAUAUUUAAAGUUGAAAGGACUUAUUUCAAAAUGCACUAUAAUUAAAAGGUUCUUAAUAUAUUUUCACCUAUAAAACACAUAAGAAGAGAGAGAGAGCUCUAUAUUAGCACUAAAAACUUUUUACAAAAUAGGCCGAUAUAUUUUAAAAAUUAACUGAAAAUAUAUAAACUACCAAAGAACUAUAAAGUAAAUAUUGAAAAGUUGAAGAGGGUCAUAGCUCCUUUGGGUCUAUAUAUGGAGUCUUGGCCCACAAGGCAACAAUUCUUUUCAAAAAUUUUCACUUUGGUCCCCUAAAUUUACAAUAUUUUAAUUUUUUUAAUAGCUUACUAGUGGAUUGUUCUGUAAUUUUAAAAAUGGGGGGGGGGUAUGGCCAUUGUCGGCCCCCACAUGGCUCCGUCCCUGGUGCUACGUAUCUUUAUUGAUUCAUACGUGGUUUACUUAAUUUUAAUUUUGGCAUCAAUAAAACUCAUGACUUCUUAAUUUACUACCAUGCACGUAAACUUUAUUUUCAGCAUUUAUAAUUCACAACAACCAAAACAACCAGAAAGAAUCUGUGACAUUACACCGGCCCGUGAAUGACCAUAGGCGUCAAAAUCCAAAUUAAUACUCGGCUCCAUUUGCUCCAUGAUUGCAUUGGGUCGAGCCCAUGCUCGUGCUAGAAUCACUUUCUCUCACAGUCGCCUCUUUAUGGGAGAUAGCCCACCUCUAUGGCUCUAUGCUGGCCUUUUUCUCUACCCCUACCUCUAUAAAUCCAACCCUGUUCCUCCUCACACCAUGCACAACAACAACUACUAUAUAUUUCUCAUUAAUUAAUUAAUUCGAUCUCUCUUGAAUCCAUGGCUCGCCUUUUGCCUCUCCUCUCCUUUCUUUUGGUGAGCAAAUUCAUAUACGCGACAUGCAUGCUUUCGUUAAAACAAGUGAUUCUGUAGAAGCUCUAGCUAAGUUGAAUCGGCGUGCGAUAACGUGACAUAAGUUGUGUUUUUAAGUGGAUCUAGAUAUAUAUGAUUAACUGUGCGUAAAUUAAGGAGAAAACAUUUGAUGUUCGCGCGUAUAUACAACGUGCGGCACCAGCUUAGUACCUUUUAGACCUAGAAAUGAUCAAAAUAACUGAAAUUCGUAGAAUUAUGAUUUUUUUAAAUUUUUACUUUCUUCGUGGUUUUAUUUGGCAGAUAAUGUUGUCUUUUUCCCUCACAAUUUAUUAUUUUAUUUUAUUUUUUAUAUAUAACAAAUUAUUGAUUGAUAUUUGUAUAUUUCAGCUGGCCAUUGCAGUAGGAGCGAGACAUGCAGCUUCGCCUGCAGAGGUCUACUGGCAGAACGUCCUGCCCAACUCUCCCAUGCCGAGCGCAAUCCGUGACCUGCUGCUCCCUGGUUGCUCUCUCUCUCUCUCUCAAUUAUUUUUUCUUAAAAUUUUAAAAUAUUAAAUGACAGUGUUAAAAUUUUAAAAUAUUAAAUAACAGUAUUUGUGUUUAAUUCGUAUUCAAAGUUAGCCAACUUUUGCGAGGUUUUAAAAUAACGCAUCUCACAUAGUUAGCAAAAGAACUUAUGAGUAUCCCAACUAGUUAAUACUUUUAGUUAAGUUUAUUUCUAAAAAAUGAAUGAAACAAGUAAUAUACUAUUUUUCUCUUUUAAAAAAAAAUCACUAGAUUUAGCAAAAUUUGAUAAAAAUUAUAAUCAAAUGAUCUCACAUCGUAAGAAAACAAAUUAAUGCCUAUCCCAUCUAUUUGGUUGGAAACGCACGCAUGAAAAAAAAAUAAAUAAAUAAAACUGUGAUUUGGAAAAAAAAAAAAAAAAAGAAAGAAAAAAACUCAUCUUUCCACGUUUUUUGGAAUGAAAGUUUAAUAGAGAAAAAAAUGAAGAGCAAAAAAAAUUACUCAUAAUAACAACUUUUUCUUAUCUCCUAAGUAUGAGAGAAAAAUAACAUUCUAAAAAUAUUUUUUAAUUAUUUUUAAAAAUAAGCGGGGGACUUCAAUUAUAAUCAUGCAUGCACACAAGCGCUAUCGAAUCUCAGUUACUACCCCUUAAUUCAAACAGUAUAUAUAUAUAUAUAGAGUCCGGCUACUAUACUAUCUAUAGUACGGGAGCUUCCGUACUAUAGUGUCGUUUUCGAUCUUCGGGCGUUCAAAUCAACGAUCCACACCGUUAAAACUGAUCUAGGAUAUUUAAAGUUUUUAGAAAUAAAUUUUUAUAUUUUUUCGACAUAGUUUACUUUAUGAUCAAAACAUUUUAAAAUUGUCAAUUUUCAAUGGCUAUUAUGACGAGUUGGGAGUUUAACGGUGUAGAAGAAUCUAAAUUUCUUCAAAUUUUGAUAGAAAAUACUUUAAACUAUAUAGAUUAAGGUUAACAUUCUUGAUCUUGAAUUUAAAAGUCCUAUGCUCAAAUUUUAAAGAGUAUUCAAUUCCCACCGUCAUUUUGACAUAAUUUAUUUACUAAGUAAACGAUGUCGAAAAAAUAAAAAUUUAUUUCUAAAAACUUAAAUACCCUAGAUCAUUUUUAACGUAUGGAUCGUUGAUUAAUGCCCAAGAUCGAAAACUACACUAUAGUACGGGAGCCUCCACUAUAUAUAUAUAUAUAUAUAUAUAUAUAUAUAUAUAUAUAUAUAUAUAUAUAUAUAUAUAUAUAUAUAUUACGAAUUAUGCUAUUAUAUUAUCGAUAGUAUCAAAUAUUUGAUGCUAUUAGAUUUUCGACCUUUAAAUAAAAGAACGUGUGAUUAGAAUAAUAACAAAUUCUUCGAAUUGAAUGGAUGGUUGGUUGAACAGUAUUAAUCUAAUAAAUGACAAUGAUCAAAAGAAUAAUUUUAACAGCGAAAAAUUUAAUAGCACCAAGCGUUUGAUAUAGUAUACUAUAUUUUAAAUAUUUGUCUUUUUUUGAAACAUAUAGGAAAAGUAACCACCUCAGCGAACGUAGACGGAGUAGGCUCCGUGUUCUUCCUGGAGAAGGACCUGCACCCGGGCUCAAAGAUGACCCUGCAUUUCACCCGGACCGCCUCCACCGCCACCGUGCUCCUCCCGCGCCGCGUCUCCGACUCGAUCCCUUUCUCUUCCGCCAAGCUCCCGGAGAUACUCUCCCGCUUCUCCGUCGACGCCGCCUCUGCAAGGGCUGACGCCAUCAAGAGCACCCUCACCGAGUGCGAGGCCCCAGCCCUCGGCGGCGAGGACUGGCUCUGCGUCACCUCGCUCGAGUCCAUGGUCAACUUCACCACUGCCAGCCUCGGCAUCCGCGACUUACGGGCCGUGUCCACCGCUGUCGGCCGUGAGGGUACGACACAGUGAAAUAACCGUUUUUCUCUGAAACCAAAGAAAAAAAAAUCUAGUGUAAACAUAGAAAACAAGAGAAUUUUAUGUACUAGAGAGCGUCCCAACAGAAAGAUAGUCCGAUCAAUCUCAGCUGGCAAAACUCGAGUGAUAUUUUCUUAAUAUUUUAUAUUCAACAGGCACGCCGAAGCAGGCAUAUACGAUCGAGAAUGUAAAGAAGAUGUCCACCCCAGGAUCCGAGCUGGUGGCAUGCCACGGCAUGAAGUAUGCGUACGCGGUGUUCCACUGCCACAUGACGACCGCGGCCGCCUACACCGUAUCGAUGGCGGGCGCCGACGGGACGAGGGUGGAGGCGCUCGCAGCGUGCCACACCGACGCGGCAGCCGGGUCGAGGAGGCGUUCAAGAAGCUCAACGUC